CCUGCAUUGUACACACUGUGCGUAUUGUUUGGGCAUGCACAGCGCAUACAAUGUGGAUG
rnacentral:pre_miRNA from 1 species